UCGCUACUACCGAUUGGAUGGCUUAGUGAGGUGGAGGGAUUGAGGUCUGGAGUUGGCUUGUCUGACUUCGGGCCGCGAGAACUUCAUCAAACUUGACCAUCUAGAGGAAGUAA
rnacentral:rRNA from 1 species